AGCUCAGACACCUUCCCUCUCUCCUACCCCUCUGCUAUUCACCAGCCCAGCGGGCUGGGCCCUGGCACUUGGCCCUCACCCCCACCCCCAUCCCGACCCUGUCUUUCCAGGCUCUUGGGAGAGCUUCAGGCAUUUCAUCUCAACGUCCUGAGAGGCGGACCCUCCGGUCCCAUUGUACAGACAGAAAAGACAUCUUUCAGGAACUGGGCGGCGGCCAUGCAGCCACCAGCCCCGCGGGAGCCGGGGACUGCUGCCCAGAGCCCAAGCACGUGGGCCACCACUGCUCACCUGCCCCCUUCCUCCACCAGCAAGACUGCCCUGUGGGGCCCCACGAGGGGCAGGUGCUGCUGUCCCCUUGAGAGACAGAACGGGAAGGAGAAAGACGGAAGCCACUCUGCAGCCUGCAAGGGCUCCCCAGGUUCUCAGUGUCAACCUGUCGGUUAAUCUUUCUGUUCUGAUGACUGUUGAGCAGCCACUUCAGGGCGUCCUUCCUUUAGCACCUGUGUGGCCUGGAUUACAGGAAGGAUCUCCAUUGCCCUGGCCGAGUGACUUUUUGCCCGUUUGUAUGGAUUUGUGGGAGAUCCAGUGAAAGAACUCUCUGGAGCAAUUACCAGGGCAAACCCUAUUCUCUGCUCUGUUCUGCGCACCCAACGGAGUGUGCUUCCUUACACGGAAGCUGCCUCUGCUGGCUCUUCCCCUGCCACCUGCCCCACAAGAGGACCAAAGGCUGAAUCAACACUGCAGAAGGAAGU